UACCAGAGGCUUUACGUAUUUUGUGGUGCCAAACCAGUUGGGCAUGUGGUAAGAGAAGAAGCCAUUAUUCCGACAGACAGCCUAAUGGGGGAGACACAUAAAAGAUAUCCAAAAGGAUCAAAAGUUGUUUCUUCUUAAAAACUGGAAAAUCCUGAAUGUUUCAAGUUAAUCUAGAUAAGAGGCAGUCAGCACUGCACUUAGAGGUCCAAAAUGGAAUACCCAUCACUGUAACAGAAGAUAACCCUCACCACUUUACCUUGUCAACAAAUGUGACAUCCUGAACCAUCCCCAGUUCUUCAGGGAUAGGCUUGGCCACAGAAACUAUAAAUACAUUGACACCAAACUCUCUGGCCACAAUGCCUGCUUCCUCGAUGUCAUCAGAAGGCCAACCAUCAAUAAAUACCACCACCACUUUGGGGAUCCCUUUUCUUACUCCAGCAUCUACCGUGAAGAAUUUCUGAGCAGUAUGCUUCAAGGCUUUUCCUAAAUUUGAAAAAGAAGCAAACAAAUAGCCUUUACCACUGCUCAAACCACAUUUCUGUUUCCCUGUAGCAUUUGAUGCUGCAAAGUUUAAGAAUUAUAUAUAGAACUGGCAGUGGGGCGGGGCACACAAAAAAGAAUUAUAUAGAACCCAGUUCUGUAACAGAUGCAUCAGCUGGGAAAGUUUAAUUAUCUACCAGGCCUAUUUAUCUUCACAAGCCAUAUUAGUUCCCCCUCCACCUCCUAGAAGCCUCACAUUUGUUUACCCCACAUCAAUCGCCAGUUAGAAACACAAAACUGAUUCCCACUUCCAUGCAUGUGCUCUCUAUGUAGCCCUUUGGUGACUGAUUAGUACCUCUAAGAAGUCUCUCUUCAGAGUCAACGGUAGUGCUACUCAUUCUUUCUGCCACAUCUGCAUUCAUUAGAUAAGUCUGUUGAUUUUCACUUCUUUUUAGCAUUACAAAGAGAUACUUCUCCAAUGUUAUAUCUAGUCAAUCCAAUGUAUGAGAAUUCUAAAUCACCAUGCUUUAUAUUUUUUAAAAUAAGAAAUAUCAACACUUUGGUAUACUUCCAUUAUAAAUUGAAAAUUUAUCUCAGAUGAUCAAAUGCAGACCUAGCCAAGAUUUCAGUUCCAGGAGGAUUUCACAUCUGCUCAUAUAAAAUAGCAUAAUACUGUUUUACAUGUCUGAUCACUGAUAACCCUCUCCUAUGUUACAUCCCAGGUAUCAAAGUCUACUUACCUGUAUUGGAAUUACCCCCUCUGAAACCUACUUCCUUUAUGGCAAACAAAACAUCUUUGGCUGAUGUAAAGUUUUUCAAGUAAAAUUCUAUUUUGGGAUGUUCACUGAGUGGAAGAAAGAAAAUGUUAUUCAGGGAGAAUUAAAAAGAUGAGAAAAUUAAAGCCGUGGGGUUAAUUUGCCCAAACAACAUUCUACAACUCCCGAAGGACAGAAAACAGAAAAGUGAAUCCCUUCAGAAUACAGCAUUUUUAUCUUAAUUGAACCUGAUUAUUUCUGCUCCAGAUCUGUCCAGUGAGAUUUAUCAAGCAGCGGAUGCAUUUUUAGAAAGCACUGUUAAUAUUCUCAAGUUUUACACUGUCAACCUAACAAAGAAUCAGUUUUUACUAUAAAUGAUGCUAGGAAGAGACAAGCUCUUGGCAACAAGUAACAAGAUAACAUAAUACAACAUGUUAAUUUGUGAAUUUACUGUCGAUACUAAAUUGAGAUUAAUGUUAUUAAAUGCUAUUUUUCAAAC
ensembl:lncRNA novel transcript, antisense to COCH